rnacentral:lncRNA from 1 species
UCGUGAGGGAGCUUGUUCCACCAUUGGGGUGCCAGAGCAGCGAACAGUUUUGACUGGGCUGAGCGGGAACUGUGCUUCCUCAGAGGUAGGGAGGCGAGCAGGCCAGAGGGAUGAACUCCCUAGAAAGGCCAAAACCUAGGAAGAAACCUAGAGAGGAACCAGGCUAUGAGGAGUGGCCAGUCCUCUUCUGGCUGUGCCGGAUGGAGAUUAUAACAGCACAUGGCCAAGAUGUUCAAAUGUUCAUAAAUGACCAGCAUGGUCAAAUAAUAAUAAUCAUAGUAGUUGUUGAGGGUGCAACAAGUCAGCAACUCAAGAGUAAGUGUCAGUUGGCUUUUUCAUAGCCGAUCUUUGAGAGUAUCUCUACAGCUCCUGCUGUCUCUAGAGAGUUGAAAACAGCAGGUCUGGGACAGGUAGCACGUCCGGUGAACAGGUCAGGGUUCCAGCAGAUCUGGGACAGUAGGUCUGGGACAGGUAGCACGUCCGGUGAACAGGUCAGGGUUCCAUAGGCAGAACAGUUGAAACUGGAGCAGCAGCACAGCCAGGUGGACUGGGGACAGCAAGGAGUCAUUAUGCCAGGUAGUCCUGAGGCAUGGUCCUAGGGCUCAGGUCCUCCGAGAGAGAGAAAGAAAGAAAGAAAAAGAAAGAGAAAGAGAGAAUUAGAGAGAGCAUAUUUAAAUUCACACAGGACACCGGAUAAGUCAAGAGAAAUACUCCAGAUGUAACAGACUGACCCUAGCCCCCCGACACAUAAACUACUGCAGCAUAAAUACCGGAGGCUGAGACUGGAGGGGUCGGGAGACACUGUGGCCCCAUCCAAUGAAACCCCCGGACAGGGCCAAACAAGGGUUCAACUUGCCUGGCUACCCACACUCCUUGAUCUGGCCAAACGCUACACUAUGCCCACGGACGUUAGUUUCUUCUCCACAAUGAGUCUUAAUCUGAGUACUUCCCCAAGAAUUUCUAGAACGCAAACACAUUCUAACAGUUCUGAAUGGUCUCAGAAACCGAUGGUUUGGGUCAGAGUCAGAACACACAUGGAUAAAGCAAUGUUAUUGGCUUUGAUACUCUGAUUGAAAUUACUUCUGGACAUCAGAACAGCGAUUACCCACCUCGAACAGGACAAAGACUUUUUCUUUAACGAGUCCGACGUGAAGGAUAUGCUGCUUUCUUGGGAACGGGCCCAAAUCCCGUCAUUUAUGUGAAGAAAAGAUGGAGAAAAAGGGGGCGGAGGUCAGGCUUCCUUCUGAGAAUUCAUAGACAAGUAAGUAAACCCCCACUGCCAUCUGUUCUAUUGGCCAACGUGCAAUCAUUGGAAAACAGAAUGAAUUAUCUAACCUGUAAUAUCUUAUGUUUCACCGAGUCAUGGCUGAAUGAUUACACAGAUAAUAUAGAGCUGGUGGGAUUUUCCAUCCAUCGGCAGGACAGAGAAGCUACGUCUGG